rnacentral:rRNA from 1 species
CCUACGGGUGGCUGCAGUAAGGAAUAUUGGGCAAUGGAGGCAACUCUGACCCAGCCAUGCCGCGUGAAGGAUGAAGGCCCUAUGGGUUGUAAACUUCUUUUGUACGGGAAUAAACCUGGUUACGUGUAAUCAGCUGAAUGUACCGUAAGAAUAAGCACCGGCUAACUCCGUGCCAGCAGCCGCGGUAAUACGGAGGGUGCAAGCGUUAUCCGGAUUUAUUGGGUUUAAAGGGAGCGUAGGCGGGAUUGUAAGUCAGUGGUGAAAGCCCGUAGCUC